CACUUACUGAUCCAUGGCCGGUGAGAAGAUGGGAUUUGCUGUUCGUUUUGUCAAUUUGUUUAUGCAGUGCGGGGAAAAAAUGCUGUAUACGCCAUAGAUGUUCUCACUGGAAUUUUGGAAGUACGAUUGAUAUAUAAGUGUGUGAAGGGUGACUCUUGUUUUCGAAUAUGCUCUGAAGAAAAAUAUAGGUGUACAUGGUCUCGCUGGAAUAUUUGAAGUCCGGUUAAUCGAUAUUGUGUGUAGGAAGACUUGUCUUCGAAUGUGCAUUUGAGAGGAGGCGACAACAACACCAUUUUAAGAAGAAACCUUUUUAAAGUAGGAUUUACGGUUACAACGUACAUUAUAUGAAGAAACUCAUUUCAGAGGAGUAGUUACGUCAUCACUUAAAACUAAGGAACUUUUAUGAAGAAACUUUGUGAGGAGGCGGCCAUUACGCCACUGUACGAAGAAACCUUUUGUUAGGAGGCAGCUACGACGUAACUUCUACGAAGAAGCCCUUUAUGAGAGUAGUUUACGAAGCUAUAAGAAACUUUUUUGAGGAGGAGUCUACGAAGAAGCCUUUUAUGAGAGUUUACAAAGCUAUGAAGAAACAUUUUCUGAGGAGGAGUUUACGACGUAACUUCUAAAAAGAAUCUUUUUGUGAGGUAUUUAUGAGGCCACUUAUACAAGAAACUUUUUCUGAGGAGAUAAUUAAAAAUCGUUUCUACGGAGGAACAUUUUUGAGGAGUCUGCAAAGUUACUUCUACGAAGAAACUUUCUGAGUAGUUGAUGACGUCACUUCUAUGAAAAACUUUUUCUAAGGGGAGGUUUCUACGAAGAAACCAUUUCUGAGGGGAAAGUCAUAACGUCAGUUUUACCAAGAAACAUUUUCUGAGGGGAAGUGUACGACGUCACUUCUACAAAGAAACUUUUUGUGAUGAGUAUAUGAAGAAACCUUUUCUGAGAGGAGAUUUUUACGAAGUAACUUUUCUGAUAAUCAAUUUCUACGAAGUAACAUUUUCCGAGGGGAAGUUUAUGACGUCACUUCUACGAAGAAACCUUUUGUGAAGAGUUUACAAAAACAUUUUCUGAGAGGAGGCUGCUACAACAUCACUUCUAUGAAAAAAACCUUUCCUGAGAGGAGGUUGCUACAACGUCUCUACGGUCAGGCAGCUAAAAAAAUAUAUACGUGAUGUGGUCAUGUACAAUUUAAGUGAGAUUUUUUAAGGAUAAUUGUAGUUUAAGUAUGAAAAAGAUCCUAAAAGUUCUGUACUUGACUAAUGUCUGUGAAGACAUAAAGUUUCAAGAAAGGAAUAAAGUGAAAAGUUCCC